rnacentral:rRNA from 1 species
CUAGCGUUAUUCGGAAUUACUGGGCGUAAAGCGCACGUAGGCGGCUUUGUAAGUUAGAGGUGAAAGCCUGGAGCUCAACUCCAGAAUUGCCUUUAAGACUGCAUCGCUUGAAUCCAGGAGAGGUGAGUGGAAUUCCGAGUGUAGAGGUGAAAUUCGUAGAUAUUCGGAAGAACACCAGUGGCGAAGGCGGCUCACUGGACUGGUAUUGACGCUGAGGUGCGAAAGCGUGGGGAGCAAACAGG